rnacentral:rRNA from 1 species
AGGGUUUGAUUAUGGCUCAGGAUGAACGCUGGCGGCGUGCUUAAUACAUGCAAGUCGAACGAAGCACUUAAGACGGACUUCUUCGGAACGAAGACUUUUGUGACUGAGUGGCGGACGGGUGAGUAACGCGUGGGUAACCUGCCUUGUACAGGGGGAUAACAGUUGGAAACGACUGCUAAUACCGCAUAAGCGCACAGUACCGCAUGGUACGGUGUGAAAAACUCCGGUGGUACAAGAUGGACCCGCGUCUGAUUAGCUAGUUGGAGGGGUAACGGCCCACCAAGGCAACGAUCAGUAGCCGACUUGAGAGAGUGAUCGGCCACAUUGGGACUGAGACACGGCCCAA